rnacentral:rRNA from 1 species
GAGGAAAAGAAACUAACAAGGAUUCCCCUAGUAACUGCGAGUGAAGCGGGAAAAGCUCAAAUUUAAAAUCUGGCGGUCUCUGGCCGUCCGAGUUGUAAUCUAGAGAAGUGCUGCCCGCGCUGGACUGUGUACAAGUCUCCUGGAAUGGAGCGUCAUAGAGGGUGAGAAUCCCGUCUUUGACACGGACUACCAGGGCUUUGUGGUACGCUCUCAAAGAGUCGAGUUGUUUGGGAAUGCAGCUCAAAAUGGGUGGUAAAUUCCAUCUAAAGCUAAAUAUUGGCGAGAGACCGAUAGCGAACAAGUACCGUGAGGGAAAGAUGAAAAGAACUUUGGAAAGAGAGUUAAACAGUACGUGAAAUUGCUGAAAGGGAAACGCUUGAAGUCAGUCGCGUUGGCCGGGGAUCAGCCUCGCUCUUUUGCGUGGUGUACUUUCCGGUCGACGGGUCAGCAUCAAUUUUGAUCGCUGGAAAAAGGCCUGAGGAAUGUGGCAGCUCCGGCUGUGUUAUAGCUUCUGGUCACAUACAGCGGUUGGGAUUGAGGAACUCAGCACGCCGCAAGGCCGGGUUUCGACCACGUUCGUGCUUAGGAUGCUGGCAUAAUGGCUUUAAGCGACCCGUCUUGAAACACGGACCAAGGAGUCUAACAUGCCUGCGAGUGUUU